UUUAAUUUGGAUUGAUAAAAAAAUACUACGUCAUUUUAUUCUUUUUCUUUUUUUUUUGUCAACUGCUAUUCUUUUUCGAAAUACUUUAUAUUCUCUGAAAAUGCCCGUUAAUAAAGCAAGUUGAGGAACAAAAUCUUACUUGUUAGUUACUCAUUUCUUCGGUCGAGCAUUCUCCGGACGUCAUGGAUAAAAUUUAUUAUCCUGCAGAAGGAUAAAAUUUAUUAUCCUGCAGAAGGAUAAAACGUUUUACAUGAUGCAUAAAGAAAGAAAAGCAACAACUUCGGUCGAGCGUUCUCUAGACGUCGAGAAAUCCAUGGAUAAAAUUUAUUAUCCUGCAGAAGGAUAAAAC
rnacentral:lncRNA from 1 species